AGGUGGACAUGGCUUCCAUUGUUGCAAGCUUGCCUCCUCCAGCACUGGUGGUCCCUGUUAGAAGCACCCUUUUGAGGACUCUUCUAAAACUUCCAGUUUCUCCCAUUAGAGGUGAGCUACAUAGAUUCUAAAGGAUAUAAUUUGGCUAUUUUUCCACCAAGUUCAUAAACUUUAUGAUUCAGUUCAACUGUACUUGUUUAUUGGAAUAAGUUAAUUGCUUUAGAGAUUGAUUAUUUAAAUGGGAUAUACUUUUUUGCUUUCUGUUCUUCUUGGUGGAUACUGGCAUUAAUACUGAUUUGAAUGGGGCGUCAUAUUCAAUUUGAGAGUUAAGAUUCCUUGAUCUUUGCAAACGGGGAAAAUAAUAAUCGGGUUUGGGCUUAUGAACACUACCCUAUGAAAUUUAGGCUGGAUUAAUUGAGCAUACUUUUUUUAGCUGUAAGUGCUUUUGAGGAAAGUCCACAAUGAUGAGCAGGUCAAAAAACAAAAAUCUGCUACUGCCUUUUGAAGUAAAAAUGACGAAUAACUUUUUAUUUCCAGAAAUUAAGUUAAUGGUAUUUAUCAAUGAGUUCUAGAUUUCAGCUUUAUGUGAAAUUAAGGAAAUUUCUAGAAACUUGGAAACCAUAAAUCUAUUAAUGUGGUGUUGAAGCUGCACAGUUGUUAUUGAUGAUUCUAGCAAUGGAAUAAGUUUUCAGAAGUGAAAUAGAGCAGCAAGGCACCUGGAUUAAAUUCCCUCUUUAUCCAUGCUUUUCCUCUUUUAUUAUUUUGUUUCGUCAACCCUUGAUAAUUAUGCAUUGUAGAGAGACAGAAUCGUGUGGCUCUUGUUGUGAAGGCUGCUGGAGAAAGCUCUGAGUCAUCAACCUCCCUCAGCAUUGUUAAGUCUGUGCAGAAUGUUUGGGAUAAAUCUGAAGACCGGCUGGCUCUUUUCGGUUUGGGGUUUGCAGCUAUAGUAGCUCUAUGGGCAUCAACAAAUCUUAUAUCAGUAAUUACUAUAACUUAUUCCUUUAUAUAUAAUAAUAUUAGCAAAAGUGAUUAGGUAGAGAGAUCUUGAACCAUUGAUUAAUCAUGUAAUUAGAUGAGUAUGAUGGAAAUUAGUAAGAACAAGAGUUUAAAUGAAGCAGUCAAUAGAAACAGCCACAUAAAAUGUUACAUCUACCCGUCUUUUAUUUUCUUUUAUUUAUUUUUUCUUGUCGUACAAUGAUCAAAUACUAGGUUAGCAUCAAUCUUUUUACAGCUUACAUAAAAGAACAACAGUUUCAGAUAUGUCCUCCAAAUUGAGUCUAGAAAGGUGAUAACAUCUCAUGAAGAACUGUUUUCCACAUUUAGAGGCGAAACUAGGAUAUAAGUUUAAACCAUAAGUGGAAUAGUUUUACUUAUUAUAGUUAUAUUUCUGGCAGAGAUCUUUAAAUAUAGAUUCCCAUCUCUUAAUCCCUGCUCAAUGCAUAUGCUUAUGCACACACAACUUAUCAUUCUACUGCUUUUUGCCAUAAUGAGAAAUCUGACUGCUUUUUGCCAUAAUGAGAAAUCUG
rnacentral:misc_RNA from 1 species